AAUUACAUAAACAAAAUUAUUCGCCAGAGUACUACUAGCAACAGCUUAAAACUCAAAGGACUUGGCGGUGCUUUAUAUCCUUCUAGAGGAGCCUGUUCUAUAAUCGAUAAACCCCGAUAAACCUCACCAAUUCUUGCUAAUACAGUCUAUAUACCGCCAUCUUCAGCAAACCCUAAAAAGGAAAAAAAGUAAGCGUAAUUAUGAUACAUAAAAACGUUAGGUCAAGGUGUAACCUAUGAAAUGGGAAGAAAUGGGCUACAUUCUCUACACCAAGAGAAUCAAGCACGAAAGUUAUUAUGAAACCAAUAACCAAAGGAGGAUUUAGCAGUAAACUAAGAAUAGAGUGCUUAGUUGAAUUAGGCCAUGAAGCACGCACACACCGCCCGC
rnacentral:rRNA from 1 species